rnacentral:rRNA from 1 species
GAUGAACGCUGGCGGCGUGCCUAAUACAUGCAAGUCGAGCGAACAGACGAGGAGCUUGCUCCUCUGACGUUAGCGGCGGACGGGUGAGUAACACGUGGAUAACCUACCUAUAAGACUGGGAUAACUUCGGGAAACCGGAGCUAAUACCGGAUAAUAUAUUGAACCGCAUGGUUCAAUAGUGAAAGACGGUUUUGCUGUCACUUAUAGAUGGAUCCGCGCCGCAUUAGCUAGUUGGUAAGGUAACGGCUUACCAAGGCAACGAUGGGUAGCCGAACUGAGAGGGUCGCAGCCACCCCGGGAACGGAACCCCGGCCAGGCCUCCGAGGGGGGGCACAAGAAGGGAUUCUCCCGCAAGGGGCGAACGUUCGACGGGACACCGCCGAGGGGUGGAUAAGGUUUUUGGUACCUAAAACCUUUUUUAUGGGGAAAAAACAAAUGUGUAAGUACCUAUGCACGUCUUCACGGUCCCUAAUAAGAAACCCACGCCUACCUCCGUC